UACCGGCAGCACGAGUGAUGACCGCUAUUAUUGGGCCUAAAGCGUCCGUAGCUGGCCGCGCAAGUCUAUCGGGAAAUCUGCGUGCUUAACGCGCAGGCGUCCGGUGGAAACUGUGUGGCUUGGGACCGGAAGAUCCAGAGGGUACGUCUGGGGUAGGAGUGAAAUCCCGUAAUCCUGGACGGACCGCCGGUGGCGAAAGCGCUCUGGAAGGACGGAUCCGACGGUGAGGGACGAAAGCUCGGGUCACGAACCGGAUUAGAUACCCGGGUAGUCCGAGCUGUAAACGAUGUCUGCUAGGUGUGACACUGGCUACGAGCCAGUGUUGUGCCGUAGGGAAGCCGUGAAGCAGACCGCCUGGGAAGUACGUCCGCAAGGAUGAAACUUAAAGGAAUUGGCGGGGGAGCACGGGGCGGGGGCGGCGGGCCGGGCGCGGGGCGCGGCGGGCG
rnacentral:rRNA from 2 species